rnacentral:rRNA from 1 species
GCACAAGCGGUGGAGCAUGUGGUUUAAUUCGAAGCAACGCGAAGAACCUUACCAGGUCUUGACAUCCCCUGACAACCCGAGAGAUCGGGCGUUCCCCUUCGGGGGACAGGGUGACAGGUGGUGCAUGGUUGUCGUCAGCUCGUGUCGUGAGAUGUUGGGUUAAGUCCCGCAACGAGCGCAACCCUCGACCUUAGUUGCCAGCAUUCAGUUGGGCACUCUAGCGAGACUGCCGGUAAUAAACCGGAGGAAGGUGGGAUGACGUCAAAUCAUCAUGCCCCUUAUGACCUGGGCUACACACGUGCUACAAUGGUUGGUACAACGAGUUGCGAGUCGGUGACGGCGAGCUAAUCUCUUAAAGCCAAUCUCAGUUCGGAUUGUAGGCUGCAACUCGCCUACAUGAAGUCGGAAUCGCUAGUAAUCGCGGAUCAGCACGCCGCGGUGAAUACGUUCCCGGGCCUU